GCGAAUGUAGCUCAGUUGGUUAGAGCGACGGGUUGUGGUUCCGUAGGCCGAGGGUUCAAUUCCCUUCGUUCGCCCCA
rnacentral:tRNA from 1 species